GAUGAACGCUGGCGGCAUGCCUAAUACAUGCAAGUCGAGCGAACUGAUGAGGAGUUUGCUCCUCUGACGUUAGAGCCGGACGGGUGAGUACCAUGUGGUUAACCUACCUAUAAGACUGGGAUAACUUUGGCAAACCGGCGCUACUACCGGAUAAUAUAUUGAACCGCAUGGUUCACUAGUGUAAGACGGUUUUGCUGUAACUUACAGCUGGCUCCGCGCCGCAUGAGCUAGUUGGUAAGGUAGCGGCUUACCAACGCUACGAUGCGUACCCGACCUGAACGGGAGGACGAGCAGACUGUAAGUGAGACUCGGUCCAGACACCGACAGGGAGCAGCAGUAGAGAAUCUUCCGCGAGGGAGCAAAGCCUGACGGAGCAACGCCGCGGGAGUGAUGAAGGUCUUCGGAUCGGAGAACGCUGUUGGUAGGAAAGAUCAAAAGUGUUAGUAACGAUGCACAUCUUGACGGUACCUAAACAAAAAGCCACGGCUAACUACGUG
rnacentral:rRNA from 1 species